UACGGAGGGAGCUAGCGUUGUUCGGAAUUACUGGGCGUAAAGCGCACGUAGGCGGCUUUGUACGUUAGAGGUGAAAGCCCGGGGCUCAACCCCGGAACUGCCUUUAAGACUGCAUCGCUUGAAUCCAGGAGAGGUGAGUGGAAUUCCGAGUGUAGAGGUGAAAUUCGUAGAUAUUCGGAAGAACACCAGUGGCGAAGGCGGCUCACUGGCCUGGUAUUGACGCUGAGGUGCGAAAGCGUGGGGAGCAAACAGG
rnacentral:rRNA from 1 species